rnacentral:rRNA from 1 species
AGAGUUUGAUCCUGGCUCAGAACGAACGCUGGCGGCAGGCUUAACACAUGCAAGUCGAACGCUCCGCAAGGAGAGUGGCAGACGGGUGAGUAACGCGUGGGAACAUACCCCUCGGUUCGGAAUAACUCAGGGAAACUUGAGCUAAUACCGAAUACGGUCGAGAGGCGAAAGAUUUAUCGCCGAGGGAUUGGCCCGCGUCCGAUUAGCUAGUUGGUGAGGUAAUGGCUCACCAAGGCGACGAUCGGUAGCUGGUCUGAGAGGAUGAUCAGCCACAUUGGGACUGAGACACGGCCCAAACUCCUACGGGAGGCAGCAGUGGGGAAUAUUGGACAAUGGGCGAAAGCCUGAUCCAGCCAUGCCGCGUGAGUGAUGACGGCCUUAGGGUUGUAAAGCUCUUUCAUCAGGGACGAUAAUGACGGUACCUGAAGACGAAGCCCCG